rnacentral:piRNA from 1 species
UGUCAACGUAUUUUUACACGA